rnacentral:misc_RNA from 1 species
UAAUAAGUGUUUUAUGGCACUUUUUAAAUCCAUAUCCACCUUGUGUGCAAUGUCAGUCGAUCUUCUUCAUGGAGAUCGACCAAACAUCAACCUUUAUCUUUUAACUCUUUGUCUGAAAAAUAUUAUGAAUAAACAAUUCUAAAUA